rnacentral:lncRNA from 1 species
AAUUGAAUUUGAUCCUCCGGCGACCCCCAAUGUCAUCACAGCACCUAUGCCUAAUCAUGACCAGAAUGUUAAUGUUGUGGACGACAAUUCUCACGUUACUGACGUUGCUGAUUUAGCAUCUCCUCUCCUGAUCGUUAAGAAGAAUUUAUUGCAAGCUGGUUUAUUUCCAGGUUGUGCUGAAGAUUGCGAUCUCUGUGUACU